UUUCUCGGGCCGCCGCGCCGCGCCGCAAGUGGGCGGGCGGGCGGAAAACGCGGCCUCCCCUCCUCCUCCGCCCGCCGCCGUCCGUCGUGGGGCGUCGAGGGUACCCCCACCCCCGCCUCGCCGCCGGUCACCUAUAGGCGCUGAAAGAGCCUCCGUCGGCCUCGCUCUGCGCACGAGGAUGUCCCAGAGCCCUGGGAGAGGUGGAAGCUCGGGAUGCUGGGGGCGGCUCCUGGAGUUUCCGGGAAGGCUCCACAGAGGAGAAAUGUGAACUUUUUUCAAAAAGAGCCGGGUCAUCUGAGGACGUGUUAGGAGCUUGGAUCUCCUCCUGUGAGCGGGGGAUUUCGGACAGGGUCUUCUCUAACCAUCAGAGCGGAGGACACACAGAAUGAAGGGCAGGGCUCUGUCAGGUUGCUGGCCUCCUGGAUUCUGCCACUGCCCUCCCUGCAAAGGCCGCGGGGGCUCUGAAGGUGGAAAGCAGAUGAGAGCUGAUCAGAAGCAGCUCAGAGGGCUACCUGGGGUGCAGAGUCUGGCCUGCUGUGAUGUACCUGAGCUCACCUGGUCCUGUCCAGUUUCCAUCCACACCCCCUCCUGCCUUCCGCCCACCCCUGACCACCCCCCCCAGCAGCGCCCUCCCUCACUGACAGCCCUCACU